rnacentral:lncRNA from 1 species
UCUCAUCGUGUCAGCCUUAGUGUUUGUUGCUCAUCCUUCUCUCUGUCAGCGUUAGUGUUUGUUACUCCAUCCAUCUCCUCUGUCAGCCUUAGUGUUUGUGUGCUCCAUCCUCUCCUCGGCAGCCGUGUGUUGUUGCUCCAUCCUUCUCCUCUGUCAGCUUAGUGUUUGUUGCGCCAUCCAUCUCAUCUGUCAGCCUUAGUUUGUUGCUCCAUCCUUCUCCUCUGUCAGCGUUAGUGUUUGUUACUCCAUCCAUCUCCUCUGUCAGCCUUAGGUUUGUUACUCCAUCCUUCUCCGCUGUCAGCCUUAGUGUUUGUUGCCCAUCCUUCUCUCUGUCAGCCUUAGUGUUUGUUGCGCCAUCCUUCUCCUCUGUCAGCCUUAGUGUUUGUUGCGCCAUCCAUCUCAUCUGUCAGCCUUAGUGUUUGUUGCUCCAUCCUUCUCCUCUGUCAGCCUUAGUGUUUGUUGCGCCAUCCAUCUCACUGUCAGCCUUAGGUUGUUUCUCCAUCCAUCUCCUC